rnacentral:tRNA from 1 species
GGGUGGAUUGGCUCAGCGGUUAAAGCGUAGGUCUCGUAACCGAAAGGUCGCGGGAUCGAAUCCCGCUAGAGGCA